rnacentral:rRNA from 1 species
GUAGAGUAACAUAUCGGAACGUACCGAGCAGUGGGGGAUAACUAAUCGAAAGAUUAGCUAAUACCGCAUAUCUUCUGAGGAAGAAAGCAGGGGACCAUUUGGCCUUGCGCUGUUUGAGCGGCCGAUAUCUGAUUAGCUAGUUGGUGGGGUAAAGGCCUACCAAGGCGACGAUCAGUAGCGGGUCUGAGAGGAUGAUCCGCCACACUGGGACUGAGACACGGCCCAG